UACAUCUCAGGGUCCCACCUGGAGAAUUUCCAAUACUCUACCAGUCUCGACUGUGGGAGGGAGAGUCAAGCAGAGGCAUAUCUGUUCCAUUCCUAGCUUGGACAGCGGCUAGUGAAUGGAAGGCAAUCUGCUACAAGU